UGGCAGUGAUGACUAUCUUAGGACACCUUUGGAACACUCAUGAAAAAACCAAUUAUUUCUGAGCCAU
rnacentral:snoRNA from 1 species